rnacentral:lncRNA from 1 species
CCAUGUCUAGUCCCUUCAUCUUGCGUCCUGGGGAAGCAGUCGGCAGGUGAGGUUACGAAUUAUAAUUGAACAUUGAGACGUCUCCUUUGUCGCUUUGUUAGAAAUCUCCCUGAGAUGACCAAAUCGUGAAAAAACCCAGGUGAGGGAGUAAGAGUACGACUUGAGGAGGGUCCUUCAAAAGUCGAAGUAUUUGAUGUGGGCAACAUUCCUAUUGUUUCGUAGUAGUUUUUCUUCCAUUGUUUCUAGUUGGAAUGCUCAUUGCUCGCGAGUGCUCGCAUUCCUGUUUGAGCCAACAAAGGAGUGAAGAUAAACCAAAAUGAAAUUUUCUGUUACCUCAACAUGACGAGUUAGCAAAAGAGAGAGUGACGUUGUGGUGUUACUCGCUCCACCUAGUGCAUGGAUGAUGGUUUUAGAUUUAGCGGCCGUGUUUGGCUUCGCCAUUACUAGCGUCUAGGCUUCAUAUGGGCUGGGCUUUCCUCACUCACUGAGGGGGUGAAAUCGAGUCCCGACCCAAUCUCAUCCGAUUUGUGCCAACAAUCAAGAGAAAUAUGUCAUACUUCGUUCAUAGACCAUCCAGUGUGUGGGGGAAUAUGAAAAUAGGGUAGGAUGUGCCCGUUCUUUCAGAAGACUGCGCAACAAGCCGCUAUCCUCUCCUAAGGGGUGGAAGUGCAGGUCAGUAUAUAAGAUAGAUACUCAAACGGGGUUGCGGUCAUGCCAGGUGACGGUGAUCACGUUUUUAGAUGUGCAUGUGUCGUGCUAGACCCAUCGUUAUAAGUGAGAUGUGUUUUGCAUAGACAUUGGUUAUAAUUUCGACAUUAUACGGCAACCAGAUCUAGAUUGGUGGUCAUUUAGGAGGCUUGCCUACUACUUUUUCGAGUGGGUGGUAGUGCCGAGAAGGUGAGACCGCGAUAGCUUGGUAGCAAAUUCUGCCGGUUAUGGAUCUAAAGGAAAUUACUAAAUUUGGCUAAGAAAUCCCCACAGAUGGUGCCACAUUGUUUUGACCAAAAAGUAUUAAACUUCUUGUUAAACUAAUUGAUGGAUGAAAUAGAAGAUAAAUCUUAGUCAACGGUAAUUAACUCUAAAUAACAACACAUUAAUUUUAAAAAUUAGAAGAGAACAAACUAAUUUAAUAUUUCUUAAGAUACUCAUCAUAUAUUAAGUGGGAACGAUAAGCUUACAUGUGUAACAUGCUUGGAUUACCGAGGAAGGAGCAUAAAAUAUGAAAAGGAAGCUGUAGAUAACAUAGGAAUCUUCCCCCUUUGUUUCGCAGUAUUAUUCUUGUUAAUCCUAGC